CAUGCAAGUCGAACGGGCGUAGCAAUACGUCAGUGGCAGACGGGUGAGUAACGCGUGGGAACGUGCCCUUCGGUUCGGAACAACCCAGGGAAACUUGGGCUAAUACCGGAUACGCCCUUACGGGGAAAGAUUUAUCGCCGAAGGAUCGGCCCGCGUCUGAUUAGCUUGUUGGUGGGGUAACGGCCCACCAAGGCGACGAUCAGUAGCUGGUCUGAGAGGAUGAUCAGCCACACUGGGACUGAGACACGGCCCAGACUCCUACGGGAGGCAGCAGUGGGGAAUAUUGGACAAUGGGCGCAAGCCUGAUCCAGCCAUGCCGCGUGAGUGAUGAAGGCCUUAGGGUUGUAAAGCUCUUUCGGCGGGGAAGAUAAUGACG
rnacentral:rRNA from 1 species